rnacentral:lncRNA from 1 species
ACAACAGCCGGCGACACGCGGCAGAGUUGCAGCAGCCGGAGACGCGGCCUAGACGGAAGCGCAGCAGCCGGCCUGGUCAGAGGCGCAGCCUCGCAGGGAGCUGACGAGGCGCAGCAGCCAUGCGGAGUCACUAUCGCUUGCAACGACUGCGGCCGCGACGGCGCGACGGCGCAACGGCGCUCUGCCCCUCGCGCCGGCAGCAGGCCUGCCCCUUUCCCGAGUCCCGACAGCGCCGCCACGGCGCUUUUCCCCUCACGCUGGCGGCCGGCCUGCCCGCCUUCCCGAGUCCCGACUCGCGCCGUUGCGGUUGCACCGCCUCCGGCCUCCCCGACGCGCGUCGGCGCGCGCGUCCCGCCCCGGCGGCCGGCGGCCGCCGCCCGGCCGUCAUCCCGCAUCCGGCGGCCCCCCCCCUCCGGUGAGCAUUGCGCCACUGCUUCUCCGGCUGUCUGGCUCUCCUCUCCCUCAGUCCCUCUGCUCUCCCCCUUCCAAUAG